CCUGGAGGCCUGGCAGUUGUGCCCAUCAGGGCCAACUGCAGAAAGAAGAGGGGGCGGCCUGGCUCCCCGCGGCUUCCUCUCCUUGCUCCCAACCUCGUCCCCGCUGAGCUCCCGAGUGCACAAUGGUCUCAGGAAAUUGAAUCGUGGGCAGCAUCUCAGCUUUGUAGCAGAGACCUCUGACGUGCCCUGUCCCUGGAGAAAGGUGAAGCUAUCACACUGUUGGUGACUGGGCCACAUGGCUGGCCACUUUCUGAUCCUGGUACCCACUGCUCUUGCCCCAGGGCUUCUGCACUGCUGUGCUCACUCAGGAAGUGCCAAGCCCUGUGUCCCAACUGCUGCCACCCAGCCCCCCACUGGCCUGCCUCGGCUCAGAGUGCAGCUCGCUCGGCAGGAACAGCUGUGGCAAAGCCUGCUUCCCCACGUCGGAAGCCUCGGUGGGUCUUCAGCAAACAAACACAAAGCAGAACCCAGGGAAGGUGUAAAAUAAAUAAACGAAACAAGCCGUGCAUUCUCUUUCAGCGGUGCAGCUGCUCCCAAAGAUAAACAGCAAGUGACUGUCACCGAACACCAAUACCGAGAAAUGAA